GAAUUGACGGGGGCCCGCACAAGCAGUGGAGUAUGUGGUUUAAUUCGAAGCAACGCGAAGAACCUUACCAGGUCUUGACAUCCUAGGAAUCCUUCAGAGAUGAGGGAGUGCCCUUCGGGGAAUCUAGAGACAGGUGGUGCAUGGUUGUCGUCAGCUCGUGUCGUGAGAUGUUGGGUUAAGUCCCGCAACGAGCGCAACCCUUAUCAUUAGUUGCUACGCAAGAGCACUCUAGUGAGACUGCCGUUGACAAAACGGAGGAAGGUGGGGAUGACGUCAAAUCAUCAUGCCCCUUAUGACCUGGGCUACACACGUACUACAAUGGCAAUUAACAGAGGGAAGCAAGACCGUGAGGUGGAGCAAAUCCCUAAAAAUUGUCUCAGUUCGGAUUGUAGGCUGCAACUCGCCUACAUGAAGUCGGAAUUGCUAGUAAUCGCAGAUCAGCAUGCUGCGGUGAAUACGUUCCCGGGCCUUGUACACACCG
rnacentral:rRNA from 1 species